rnacentral:rRNA from 1 species
AUGCACGCUGGCGGCGUGCCUCAUACAUGCACGUCGAGCGAACAGACGAGGAGCUUGCUCCUCUGACGUUAGCGGCGGACGGGUGAGUAACACGUGGAUAACCUACCUAUAAGACUGGGAUAACUUCGGGAAACCGGAGCUAAUACCGGAUAAUAUAUUGAACCGCAUGGUUCAAUAGUGAAAGACGGUUUUGCUGUCACUUAUAGAUGGAUCCGCGCCGCAUUAGCUAGUUGGUAAGGUAACGGCUUACCAAGGCAACGAUGCGUAGCCGACCUGAGAGGGUGAUCGGCCACACUGGAACUGAGACACGGUCCAGACUCCUACGGGAGGCAGCAGUAGGGAAUCUUCCGCAAUGGGCGAAAGCUUGACGGAGCAACGCCGCGUGAGUGAUGAAGGUCUUCGGAUCGUAAAACUCUGUUAUUAGGGAAGAACAAAUGUGUAAGUAACUAUGCACGUCUUGACGGUACCUAAUCAGAAAGCCACGGCUAACUACGUG